AAUCAACGCUGGCGGCGUGCCUCAGACAUGCAAGUCGAACGCGAAAGUCCCCUUCGGGGGACAAGUAGAGUGGCGCACGGGUGAGUAACACGUAGGUAAUCUACCUUCGGAUGGGGAAUAACAACCGGAAACGGUUGCUAAUACCGCAUAAUGCAGCGGCACCUAAUGGUGACAGUUGUUAAAGCGGGGGAUUGAAAGACCUCGCGUCUGAAGAGGAGCCUGCGGCGGAUUAGCUUGUUGGAGGGUAACGGCCUACCAAGGCGACGAUCCGUAGCCGGCCUGAGAGGGCGGUCGGCCACACUGACACUGACAUACGGGUCAGACUCCUACGGGAGGCAGCAGUGGGGAAUUUUGGACAAUGGGCGCAAGCCUGAUCCAGCCAUGCCGCGUGC
rnacentral:rRNA from 1 species